CCUAAAAAGAAAAACAAAGCUUUGAUCCCAGAUCACAGGCGGGGGAUGACCCCAGAGGGGGAACAAAAAAACAACCAGUGUGGUUAUUACGGCUCUGGGGGUCCAGCUAACUGAGCAAUGGUGGAUUCAUAAAUUCUAGAACAGGAAGAGACUGGAACUAACAGAAUCGCCAACACCCCGCGGCUACGUGACGGGCGGAUUCGUCAGGACUGUUUCUGGACCCAGAGUGAAGGGUCAGCAGGGGGCUGCCCCCGGAGGAUGUAAGGUCUCCUUAGCCCUGGGCUGGGGUUCUCGGGGGGACAGAUGUCUCAGCAGCAGAUGGGGAAGCGGGUAGUUACCGAGACUGUUACUACCGAGACCGUUACCUGGACCCCAGGCUGCAGGGACAUCAGUACCUAAAAUAAUCGGAACCUGUUUCUCUUUUCCCCGAGGAAUCCCGGCUGCUCCACAGACAGGUGCCAGCGUUCAGACCCUGAGGCUGCCUCUGGCUCCACAAGUGUGGAUGUGCCCAGGCAGGUCUCAAGACGGAGCCUUGAGAAGCAGGAAAGGCCGUGUGGAUGGAGCCCCUGGGGACGGAGAGGAGGAGGAAGGUGAGUGUCCAUUUGAGCAGCUCCCGUCUCUCUCCAUACUUCAUACCCUCCUACGCGGGAGGCCCCAUAGCAUCCAUUUAACUCAAACGGUAUUGGAGAUCUGUGGUGAUGAUGCCUGAUGUUCAUGCUCCCCCUUGGAGGUGGACUGGGUGGAGCAGAGGAGUCAUCUGAUUCACCGUACAGGACAGCGUCCAGCCUUCACGCCGGGACGUCCUCCAGGGACGCCGUCGGGAGUCACAGGCUUCAGGAAGAUUUGAGAUGGGACUGGCUUAGUUUCAGUGGCUACAUGAUGCUCUCAGACCGUGAUAUGAGCUUUGUCGUGUCAUGGGGCAGUUGUAUCCGAUGAUUUGUAUGUCGUGCCUCGUGUGCCGUCCGUCUGGUUUCGUGUCAUGUUCCCCACUCAGCCAUAAAAACGAAUGAAAUAACGUCAUUCACAGCAACAUGGAUGCAACUAGAGAUUCUCACACUAAGCGAAGUUAGAAAGACAAACACCAUAUGAUGUCACUUCUAUGGAAUCUAAAAUAUGUCACAGAUGAACCUGUCUGUGGAACAGAAACAGACUCCCAG
rnacentral:lncRNA from 9 species